rnacentral:rRNA from 1 species
CCCUUAGACGUUCUGGGCCGCACGCGCGCUACACUGACGAAGGCAACGAACUUUCCUUUACCGAAAGGUACGGGUAAUCUUUUGAAACUUCGUCGUGCUGGGGAUAGAUCCUUGCAAUUAUUGAUCUUAAACGAGGAAUUCCUAGUAAGCGCAAGUCAUCAACUUGCGUUGAUUACGUCCCUGCCCUUUGUACACACCGCCCGUCGCUACUACCGAUUGAAUGGUUUAGUGAGGCCUUCGGAUCCGCGACUCGUUUUGUGGAGAAGUUGGACAAACUCAGUCAUUUAGAGGAAGUAAAAGUCGUAACA